AGUCAAGUAAUUAAGUGCAUGUGGUGGAUGCCUUGGCAGUCAGAGGCGAUGAAAGACGUGAUAGCCUGCGAAAAGCUCCGGGGAGGCGGCAAAUAUCCUUUGAUCCGGAGAUGUCUGAAUGGGGGAACCCACCUACUUUAAGGUAGGUAUUGCAACAUGAAUACAUAGUGUUGCAAGGCGAACGAGGGGAAGUGAAACAUCUCAGUACCCUUAGGAAAAGAAAUCAAUUGAGAUUCCCUCAGUAGCGGCGAGCGAACGGGGAUCAGCCCAUUAAGUUAUGUGUGUUUUAGUGGAACGCUCUGGGAAGUGCGAACGUAGAGGGUGAUAUUCCCGUACACGAAAGGGCACACAUAAUGAUGACGAGUAGGGCGAGGCACGUGAAACCUUGUCUGAAUAUGGGGGGACCAUCCUCCAAGGCUAAAUACUCCUGACUGACCGAUAGUGAACCAGUACCGUGAGGGAAAGGCGAAAAGAACCCCUGUGAGGGGAGUGAAAUAGAUCCUGAAACCGCAUGCAUACAAGCAGUGGGAGCACCUUCGUGGUGUGACUGCGUACCUUUUGUAUAAUGGGUCAGCGACUUAUAUUCAGUAGCGAGGUUAACCGUAUAGGGGAGCCGUAGAGAAAUCGAGUCUUAAUAGGGCGUUUAGUUGCUGGGUAUAGACCCGAAACCAGGCGAUCUAUCCAUGAGCAGGUUGAAGGUUGGGUAACACUAACUGGAGGACCGAACCCACUGUCGUUGAAAAGCCAGGGGAUGACUUGUGGAUAGGGGUGAAAGGCUAAUCAAGCCUGGUGAUAGCUGGUUCUCCCCGAAAGCUAUUUAGGUAGCGCCUCGGACGAAUACCAUAGGGGGU
rnacentral:rRNA from 1 species